rnacentral:tRNA from 1 species
UGCAACUUAGUUUAGUUAGAACCAUCAACUUGCACUUGAUAGGAGAGGUAUCUCAGUAGCGG